CAGCACGGGAGCAAUCCUGGUGGCGAGUGGCGAACGGGUGAGUAAUAUAUCGGAACGUGCCCAGUCGUGGGGGAUAACGUAAAGAAAUUUACGCUAAUACCGCAUACGAUCUAAGGAUGAAAGCGGGGGACUUCGCAAGAGGCCUCGCGCGAUUGGAGCGGCUGAUAUCAAAUUAGGUUGUUGGUGAGGUAAAAGCUCACCAAGCCGACGAUCUGUAGCUGGUUUGAGAGAACGACCAGCCACACUGGGACUGAGACACGGCCCAGACUCCUACGGGAGGCAGCAGUGGGGAAUUUUGGACAAUGGGCGAAAGCCUGAUCCAGCAAUGCCGCGUGCAAAAAAGAAGGCCUUCGGGUUGUAAACUGCUUUUGUACGGAACGAAAAGGUCUGCCUUAAUACGGUGGGCCCAUGACGGUACCGUAAGAAUAAGCACCGGCUAACUACGUGCCAGCAGCCGCGGUAAUACGUAGGGGUGGCGAGCGUUAAUCGGAAUUACCUGGGCGUAAAGCGUGCGCAGGCGGGUGAUGUAAGACAGUUUGUGAAAUCCCCGGGGCUCCACCCUGGGAAUUGCAUCUGUGACUGCAUCGCUAGAGUACGGGUAGAGGGGGGAUGGAAUUUCCCGGUGUAGCAGUGAAAUGCGUAGA
rnacentral:rRNA from 1 species